rnacentral:lncRNA from 1 species
UACGGGUGGUUACUAACGGGGAGGCUGGGGGAUUCAAUCCAAUUACGGGUGGUUACUAACGGGGAGGCUGGGGGAUUCAAUCCAAUUACGGGUGGUUACUAACGGGGAGGCUGGGGGAUUCAAUCCAAUUACAGGUGGUUACUAACGGGGAGGCUGGGCGAUUCAAUCCAAUUACAGGUGGUUACUAACGGGGAGGCUGGGGGAUUCAAUCCAAUUACAGGUGGUUACUAACGGGGAGGCUGGGGGAUUCAAUCCAAUUACAGGUGGUUACUAACGGGGAGGCUGGGGGAUUCAAUCCAAUUACGGGUGGUUACUAACGGGGAGGCUGGGGGAUUCAAUCCAAUUACGGGUGGUUACUAACGGGGAGGCUGGGGGAUUCAAUCCAAUUACAGGUGGUUACUAACGGGAGGCUGGGGGAUUCAAUCCAAUUACGGCUUGUAGACAACAACAACAAAAAGCAAUGUUUGCAGUCAUGUAAAGGCUGUUAUCGGUCGACGGGGAAAUGUAUAUUUUAACAACUGCAUCAACAGCUGUCCAGCUCGCUGCUCAACAGAGAGAAUCCUGGUCUGAAUGAAUGUCCCCAGGCCAGAUAGAUUAUUACAGAGGGGAUCAGCAGGUCCUACAUCAGUGUGAAUGACACCCCCUCUUCCACUCUCAGCACAGGGGUCAGGGAGGGAGGAGGGAGGACCACACAGGAGGGAGG